rnacentral:lncRNA from 1 species
CAGUCCUAGAAUCACCGAAAUGUCUAGUCUGCGUCUGCAAUAGAUUGGGGGCUUCCUAAAAAUGCAGUGGGGCUGUGUGUCUUUCUACCCUGGGAUGGUACGUUUUCUGAAGCCAGAUGCUGUGUUUCACCUUUCUGAUGGAGUUCUGAUGGUUCCUGAGGCGGGGUCUUCGUGCCUCCUGGAGAGCAAGUCUCAUCUUUUCUCUUCCCAGCACGUGGAGGCCCCUCCCCCUACUGAAGCUGUGCCCAGCGUGUGGGAGAAUAUCCGAGUCUGGUUACCCACAGUUUUCUGCCAGGAAGGGGCAGGGUGGCCCUCAGUGCAGAAUGGCACUGCACCCCUCCUCUCUCCCCAUAACCACUGCUGCCAAGCCUCUGUUGUCCACCAGCCUCACAAACCCCACCACCCAGCCUUUGCCUGUGCUGUCCUCUGUAGCAGCACCCUCUCUUCCUGUCCUUGGGGACGGCUGACGGCUCACCACACCUCCUGGAUGCUCUGGCCUUCAGCACGCUCAGGGAAGCCCGGGAGAAGCCGUUUCCCACGGUCACAGCCUCAACCACCCCCACCCCCUGCUCCUUUGGCCGCAGCCACCUCAGCCUCUGCAGAGCACAGCCUGGCCUGCUCCGUCCCAGCAGGGCCCCCUCCUUGA